ensembl:lncRNA
UAUCUAAUUCAUAUUUGCCAUUAAUAUACAUCUAAUACAGCUUGCAGAGUGGAGGAGUGGGGCCUUCAGCUGAAAUUGGCCAGCUCUGCGGAUUCUCAUCACUGGGCAAGAGAUUGGUGCCAUUCCUCAGUCAGCUCUGAAGAGCUCUCCUCAUCGCUGAAGACCACAAGGAACGCCUGGUUACCAACAAGAAGACCCUAACAACGCCUGGAGCAGACUGUCAUUCACAAAAGUAAACAAUGACAGUCUGACAAAUACACUGCGAUUAAAUGGAACAGAGUUAAGUGACUCACCUGUAAGUAGGCUACAUUUCCACUUGAAGCUUGUCUACUUGCAUGCAUUAUAAAGCCGCACGUCUGGUUAAA